rnacentral:misc_RNA from 1 species
GAUGAAGAACGCAGCGAAAUGCGAUAAGUAAUGUGAAUUGCAGAAUUCAGUGAAUCAUCGAAUCUUUGAACGCACAUUGCGCCCUAUGGUAUUCCGUAGGGCAUGCCUGUUCGAGCGUCAUUACAACCCUCAAGCUCUGCUUGGUAUUGGGCGUCGUCCCCUAAACGGACGUGCCUCAAAGACCUCGGCGGUGGCGUCUUUGCCUCAAGCGUAGUAAUAUUUUUAUCUCGCUUUGGAGUCGAAGGCGUCGCCCGCCGGACGAAACCUUUAUUUUUUCUAUCAAGGUUGACCUCGGAUCAGGUAGGGAUACCCGCUGAACUUAAGCAUAUCAAUAAGCGGAGGA